rnacentral:rRNA from 1 species
CCCCCGGUAGGGUGGCAAACGGGUGAGUAAUACAUGGGUGAUCGACCUUAGGGAUGGGGAUAUCCUUCCGAAAGAGGGGCAAUACCGAAUAUUGUCCGGAGCCGUGAAGGGUUCCGGGGAAAGGGAGGCCUCUGAUACAAGCUUUCGCCUUAAGAUGAGCCCAUGGCCCAUCAGCUAGUUGGUAGGGUAAAGGCCUACCAAGGCUACGACGGGUCGCUGGUCUGAGAGGACGACCAGCCACACUGGCACUGAGAUACGGGCCAGACUCCUACGGGAGGCAGCAGUGAGGAAUAUUGCGCAAUGGGGGAAACCCUGACGCAGCAACGCCGCGUGUGGGAAGAAGGCCUUCGGGUCGUAAACCACUUUUGCACGGGACGAAAAAGGGAUAUCGAACAAAUAUCCCCGAUGACGGUACCGUGAGAAUAAGCCACGGCUAACUCUGUGCCAGCAGCCGCGGUAAGAC